AGUGAACGCUGGCGGUAGGCCUAACACAUGCAAGUCGAACGGCAGCACAGCAAGAUCUUGCUCUUACGGGUGGCGAGUGGCGGACGGGUGAGGAAUACAUCGGAAUCUACUUUUUCGUGGGGGAUAACGUAGGGAAACUUACGCUAAUACCGCAUACGACCUACGGGUGAAAUCAGGGGAUCUUCGGACCUUGCGCGAUUGAAUGAGCCGAUGUCGGAUUAGCUAGUUGGCGGGGUAAAGGCCCACCAAGGCGACGAUCCGUAGCUGGUCUGAGAGGAUGAUCAGCCACACUGGAACUGAGACACGGUCCAGACUCCUACGGGAGGCAGCAGUGGGGAAUAUUGGGCAAUGGACGAAAGCCUGAUCCAGCAAUACCGCGUGGGUGAUGAAGGCCUUCGGGUUGUAAAACCCUUUUGUUGGGAAAGAAAAGCAGCAGGUUAAUACCCCGCUGUUCUGACGGUACCCAAAGAAUAAGCACCGGCUAACUUCGUG
rnacentral:rRNA from 1 species